rnacentral:rRNA from 1 species
CAGCCGCCGCGGUAAUACGUAGGUGGCAAGCAUUGUCCGGAAUUAUUGGGCGUAAAGGGCUCGCAGGCGGUUUCUUAAGUCUGAUGUGAAAGCCCCCGGCUCAACCGGGGAGGGUCAUUGGAAACUGGGAAACUUGAGUGCAGAAGAGGAGAGUGGAAUUCCACGUGUAGCGGUGAAAUGCGUAGAGAUGCGGAGGAACACCAGUGGCGAAGGCGACUCUCUGGUCUGUAACUGACGCUGAGGAGCGAAAGCGUGGGGAGCGAACAGGAUUAGAUACCCCUGUAGUCCCUGUCUCUUAUAC